rnacentral:misc_RNA from 1 species
UCCGAGUUAUCCCCGGCAGUCUCCUAUGAGUCCCCGGCCGAACCGCUGGCAACAUAGGACAAGGGUUGCGCUCGUUGCGGGACUUAACCCAACACCUCACGGCACGAGCUGACGACAGCCACGCACCACCUGUAUACGGCCCCGAAGAGGCACUGGCUUUCACCAGCUUCACCCGGUAUGUCAAGCCCUGGUAAGGUUCUUCGCGUUGCGUCGAAUUAAGCCACAUGCUCCGCCGCUUGUGCGGGCCCCCGUCAAUUCCUUUGAGUUUCAGCCUUGCGGCCGUACUCCCCAGGCGGGGCACUUACUGCGUUAGCGACGGCACCGGGAGGGUCGCUCCCCCCGACGCCUAGUGCCCAUCGUUUACGGCGUGGACUAC